UUUAUUGGAGAGUUUGAUCCUGGCUCAGGAUGAACGCUGGCGGCGUGCCUAAUACAUGCAAGUCGAGCGAAUGGAUU
rnacentral:rRNA from 2 species